rnacentral:RNase_P_RNA from 1 species
AGAGUCGACCGGGCAGUCGCUAUAUCGGGAGAAUCUUCAUUAUGAGGUAUUUGUUCCAAAUAUAGAGGAAAGUCCGGGCUCCAUAGGGCCAGAGUGCCAGGUAACGCCUGGGGGAUGUGAAUCCACGGAAAGUGCCACAGAAAAUAUACCGCCCGCCACUUCUUGCUUAUUUUCGAGGCAUGGAGAACAGGCGGGUAAGGGUGAAAAGGCGCGGUAAGAGCGCACCGCUCCCCGGGUAACCGGGGUGGCAGGGUAAACCCCACUCGGAGCAAGACCAAAUAGGGAAGUCGGUUUAUGCUUUUUUAUUGCAUAACCAGGCGUGGCCCACGCCGCUUCCGGGUAGGUCGCUAGAGGUAUGCGGUGACGCAUAUCCAAGAUGAAUGGCUGUCCUCGACAGAAUCCGGCUUAUAGGUCGACUCUUGCC